rnacentral:misc_RNA from 1 species
AAAGUCGUAACAAGGUCUCCGUAGGUGAACCUGCGGAGGGAUCAUUAACACGUAUGUACACUGGUACCGGUCUUAAAACAGCCGCCGCUAUGUACACGUUUCCAUACCUAACUACCAAUACCGUGAACUAUGUAACUACUUAUUUUUUUUACAAUUCUUUUUUGUAACAACAAACCCUUUUCCAACUUCUAUUUUACUUUUUUUUUGUUAUACAGCAGUCUGUCUGUCAUUUUUUGACCGUCCUUCAGCUGUAUUCUAAAUAUAAAAAAACAUAAAGCACAACUCUUAGCAACGGAUAUCUUGGUUCUC